rnacentral:lncRNA from 1 species
AGUUUCAAAUGAUAUUAUUUUGCAAUAAAAUUUUAUUUAAAUCAAUUUGUUCAAAAAUUUACAAUUAUAAGUUGACGAAUAUAUUACAAUUAAGGCACUAAAUCCUAAUUGUCAUAUCCUUGACCUAGGACGUCAUGUCACCACCACGACAAGGAGAAAAGGUAUAACCCUGUUGUCAACAAGCCUAGUGUCGAUAGGCCAAUUUGUCCGGCCCCUUUUGAAACCCAAAAUAAACCAAGAAAAAAGAAUAAACAAAACAGUCCAUUAAUAUUCUAUUUACAGCCCAAUACCUAAGCCCAAUUACAUGACCCUAUAACUAAUACCCUAGCCCAGUUACAAAACAGCCCAAAGCUCCAAGACCCAAAUGGCCCAGAAACUGAGCCCAAUUUCUAAGCCCAAUUACAUGACCCUAUAACUAAUACCCUAGCCCAGUUACAAAACAGCCCAAAGCUCCAAGACCCAAAUGGCCCAGAAACUGAGCCCAAUUUCGGUAAACCCUAGGGCAAAGGUCUCCUCGCUCCGCAGCCCUCACUGGCGGCCUAACCACGCAGUAGUCCCAGCCUCCACACCUCCGUGCGGCCUCCUGGCACCACGCCCACGCCCCGUACGCCAGCACAUGGCUGCGUACCCGAGCGCACACCCGUACCUGCAAGAACACAGACAGAGCAGUAGCCAAUACCAAAGCAAAGAAAAAACUUGUAUUUUUCUUUAUUUUUUUUUGAACAUUCAACUAUAAAAGCCUACUAUCUUCGAUUGUAAACUUUUUUUUGAAGGAGGGACACAAGCACAUUUCUACACACUGAAUACAAAAAAACGCGAAAAAAAAGGAAUAUACACAUACAAUAGCAAUCGAAUACAGAGGUUGAAUAUUCUUCAAAGGUGGUUCCUUUUUAUUUUUUUUACGCCUCCAUUUUUCCAUUUCUGCUUCGAAAUCUAUCAAAAACGCAAAAAGAAAACGAAAGAGGAGUUUACCUUGCGAAGCUAGCCGUCGUUUCCCCUUCACUUCGUCGAAAUCGAAGUCUGAAUGGGGUCUCAAGGGCCAAAACCACUCUUUUAGGGCUCGAACGCGCAGAUCGUUGUUCGUGUGGCACAUUAGUGCCGAGGGUAGCAUUUUGGGGUUAAUUGGGCAGCAAAAGGGGGAGGUUGAUACACUGCUAGGGUUUCGGCUGAAUGAAAA